rnacentral:lncRNA from 1 species
ACCAACGGUACAAUCGUGAUACUAGGCUAAUAAUUAGGAAACAAAUAUUACCUAAUAAAUACAAAUAACAGGAAACAAAUAUUACCUAAUAAAUACAAAUAACUAUUUUCUAAAUAUAUAAACUAUCACCUUUGUUGUUCUCAAUCUCAUACACUUUUUUUAGCAAAGCUUUUGUAACUUGUGCUUAAACUUUCAAAUCCUCACUUUGUGAGUUGAUUUUUUUAUGUAAACAACUUGUUGCGAGAAAGCCUAGAGAAAUUUUGUGACUAAAGAAUAGUUUACCUGAAGAGGUUGUAGUAUACUUGGUAUAACCAUUGUUGAAGUAAUUUGGUUGCUUCAUCCAUGUAAUAUAUGGUUUGCCCUUUUUGUUUUGGUUUCAUGGGUUUUGUGUGGUGUUGAUGUUGUUGAUGAAAGUCCUCUUGUUGAACUCAAAUCCUCCCUUUUCCCCAUCUCGUUGAGAACCUAAGUUUAAAGACCCAUAUAUAGCACUAUUAAACUAUAAGUUAGUUGCCUAUUUUGUUAUGAAUUAGUUAUAGAGUAGUCAUAUAAAGAAGAUAUCAAUGUACAUAUAAUUUUGUAUCUUUUAGUAAAUCAAUAUAAUACUUCUUGAGAGUUAUUCUCUUUAUAUAGCCUAUGCUUAUAAUAUUUCCUCUUAUCAUUUGAUAACCAACAAUUGACACAAUGUUUUAGUUAUAACGAUCUUUGCAUCUAUAUUAAUACCGUACGUAGAGUUUAUGACUUUACGGCGUUAAACAUUUUUGCACCUUUAUUUUUUUUUUUAUAGAAACUUGAGUUUUUGUAUUAAAUCUCAAGUACUAAAGAUGUAUUUCGAACAGCUUGUUGAUAACUUACUUAAAUUUGGAUGAGUUUGUUUAAACUCUAAAAUAAAAUAAAAUACAAAUUAAUUCAUAAAAAGUAAAAACAAUUGGUUAUUUUAAUAAAAUUGUUUAUUUUAUUAAAAAAAGUGAUUUUUUGAAAUAAAAAUAUUUUAAACAAAUGGACUCUUUAUCUUAUAAUAUAAGUACUUAUAAGUCUUUAGAAAACUUUAUUGUUUGAAAAAUAAUUAUUAUAAUCUAGAGUAAAUUAUAACAAUAUCUCAUGAGAGAAUGUAAGCCUAAUAUUUUUAAACAUAUAAGGAAGUAUUAGUAUAAUGUUUUCUAAUUUAUAGAUGGUUAAUGUAGGAAAAUAAAAAAAAGGAUAGAAUUAUAUGUAAUUUGAUAAAAACUUAAAAGGUGUUAUUAUAAUUUGCUCUAUAAUCUAUCUAUAAAUUAUUUCCAACUUGUUUUAAUAUUUUUUUAGAAUAACGGUUUUUUCUACUGCAACUAUAAUAGUUUUUUUUUUCAAUUAUAAAAACCACUUAUGUCUUUCCUUUCUAUAAUAAGUGUCAUCUUAUAUUUUUUGCACAAACUAAUAAAAAUUAAUAAAUAAAUAAAAGAGAAAAAUAAUUUUAUAAAACUAACGUUAUCCUUAAUUAAUAAUCCCUUUGUCACGUAAUAUUUUUCAUACUGGAUUUUUUAUAAAAAAACAAAUAGAUAGAUAAAAAAAUAUCAAUUUUAUGUGUAAAAACAAAAAUAAUAACUAUUUUAAAAAAAAUUAAGUUUUCUCAUUAUUAAUUCAUUUACAAAUUUUAUUGUUCAUCAAUAAUAUUAUAAGAAAUAUAUAAAUGAAAAAAAAAUAAUUAACAUUAUCUUAAAAAAAUAAAAUAAUAAUUAUUUGUAGACUUGUUUUUUCUUCUUAUACAUGAUUAUUAUUUAUUAUGAAAUGGAGGAAAUAUUAUACUGCUAUUAAAAAAUUAAAGUGAUUGGUGUACAGUGUAUAGAAAAUGGUUACGGACCUGGGUACCUUGGCAGCGCGGUUGGUGUGCGGAAGGCAUAGUCUUGAGUCUUCAACAUUUUUCCGCUUAUACAGGGAAUGUUGAACACGAAACUCUUGGUCAUGGACUUGUUGUGCGACAAGGUAUCUAACUUGUCAAGACCUUCUUCCUUUUUGUGGAAGUGGAAUCUGAUAGCCUCUCAACUCUCAAGUCAUGUGCGUAUACCAUCUUUCAAAGGGAAGACAGUCUCAACAUUCUAGAUUGUCAUUAAUAAACUGAAAUAUAAAUAAAAAUUCUAGAUUGUCAUGCCACCCAAUCUUCUCGCUAUUAUAGUUGCAGUGAGGUAGCUAGAACUAAAGAGGUCGAAAUGAAGUAGUUACUCUCUUUUGCAGUUAUCCUUGACUCUGC